rnacentral:rRNA from 1 species
CAGCCGCCGCGGUAAUACGUAGGUGGCAAGCGUUGUCCGGAAUUACUGGGCGUAAAGGGCUCGCAGGCGGUUUCUUAAGUCUGAUGUGAAAGCCCCCGGCUCAACCGAGGAAGGUCAUUGGAAACUGGGAAACUUGAGUGCAGAAGAGGAGAGUGGAAUUCCACGUGUAGCGGUGAAAUGCGUAGAGAUGUGGAGGAACACCAGUGGCGAAGGCGACUCUCUGGUCUGUAACUGACGCUGAGGAGCGAAAGCGUGGGGAGUGAACAGGAUUAGAUACCCCCGUAGUCCCUGUCUCUUAUAC